GCCAUUGUUCCACUAUGCCUUCUAGAAGAUAGAUAUGGGACAGGCUUUCUUUUCUUACUGUGCAGCCACACUGAUGGACAUUGGGGGCUUUGAAGUUGUGUACAGAGAACAAGAAUCCACUUCAUCUUGUGUGAUGUCAGUUAUUUCUUCUUCUUUUCUCCUGCCUACCAUUUCAAGUCCUUCGCUGUGGAGAUCCGAGAACCUGCGGGAAGGAGGAAUCCAUCAAUUCCCUCUCAGGAGCUGUUUUUCAGGAGGAUCUCCUUGGAAGAUCCAAAUCAGGACACCUCAGGAGGGAAGAAUGGAAGAAAGUUGACUCCUCCUUAUGGUGGAGCUGAAACCGUGGUUGAACCUCCAACUCAACAAGAGGGUCUUGUGUUCUUCAGGGACGUGGCCGUAUGUUUCUCCGAGCGGGAGUGGUCUCAACUG